UUAGAUGAAAUUAAUUUAAACUAUAAUAUUUCUCAAAUUUUAAAAUCUGCUAAUUUAAAAAAUCAUAGUAGACAUUCUAACCUCAUUUUAAGCUCAUCUUCUCCAAAGUGUAUGUUCAUUAAGAAAUAUAUAAAUAACAGUGUGAUAGCAAAAAGGAUGCAACAUGGAAGUUGAAACGCACAUGAUUUACUCACCAUUAACCAGUCAAAUUCUUUUCAAACUAGGGAUAGCAACUGUCAACCUGACUGUCAAAUGAGUGAAAAAAUAUCCUUAUUAUCCCAGUGUAGACCAAUGUCUGGCCAACCUUUUGAAAAUGUCUAGGUCCCUGUUAGAGCAAGACCCCUCUUAUGUCAUGGAAGUCAUUAAAAGUCCAUCUGGUAUUCUGUGUAUAGAAUGUCAGAUAUGCAAGAUGUUAGGUGUUAUGUGCUGCUGUAAAAGAAGUUGAACUAUGCCCUAUAUGUGAUCAAAGACAGUUACUAAAUCCUAGGAAGGGAAGUUGAAUGCCACGUACAGAUGAUUUAGGGAGAGAAUCCUUCACAUGGGAGAAUUGAACUUAAUUUAAAAAAAUACAGCUAUUAUGAAAUGAGAUGCACAUUGAGAACCAUAGCUAUAUUAUUAAAACUAAAGGGUUUUUUUUUGGCUUUUGUUUUUUGUUUGUUUGUUUUGUAUGUGGUAUGUGUGUGUGGGCAGGCAUGUGCACUUGCCUUUAUACCAGUCUCUUCCUAUUUUUCCCACCCUCAGCCCCUAGCAACCACUUUUCUACUGUUUCUAUGCAUUUGACUUCUUUUCUCCUUGACUUUAGAAUCCACAUAUAAGUGAUUCUGUACAGUAUUUGUCUUUGUCAUAAUGCCCUCAAGGCCCAUCUAUGUUGUUGCAAAUGGCAGGGUUUCCUUCUUUCUCAUAAAUGAAUAUUCCGUUGUAUGUAUGUAUCACGUAUGAUCAUAUGUUUGAUAGAUCUAUCCAUUCAUCCAUUGACGGACACUUAGAUUGUGUCCAUAUCUUGGGUAUUGUGAAAAAUGUUGCAUUGAUCAUGGGAGCAUAGAUCUCUUUGAGAUACUGUUAUCAUUGCCUUUGGAUAUAUAUCCAGAAGUGGGAUUGCUGGAUCAAAUAGUAGUUCUAUUUUUUUUCUCUUUUUUUCUUUUUUCUUUGUUUAAACUGGCCAGGUUCAGUGUUCAGGUCAUAGCCUCUCUCUGCCAUGCAUUGCUGCCCUGGGGAUGUAUCCACUGGGCUCCUUGCUGUAGCCACUGCCUCCAGAAGCCCGUGCCCUCCAGCUGUAGGUAGACCUGUGGCCAGCUGGCCUGGUGAGCAGCCACAGUGGGAGCAGUGGAAACGCCAGAGCCCUAUUUUCCUUUUUUUUUUUUUUAAUUUUUGAGGAAACUCCAUACUGUUUUCCACAGUGGCUGCAUGAAUCUACAUUACCACCAACAAUGCAGAAGGGUUCCCUUUUCCCCACAUCCUCACAAACACGUGUUAUUUCUAAUCUUUCUGAUAAUAGCAUUCUAUUAUCAAAUAGAUAAUAGGUGUUAGGUGAUACCUUUUUGUGGCUUUAAUUUGAAUUUCCCUGGUGGUUAGUGACAUUGAGCGCCUUGUCAUGUACCUGUUGGCCAUUUGCAUGCAUGUCCUCUUAGGAAAAAUGUCUAUUCAGAUCCUCUGCCAAGUUUUUAAUUAGAUUGCUUGUUUUAGGGAGGAAAGCAUGGGGUCCUGAGUCAGAUUCUUCAGUGUUAAAACCUAGAUUUCUGUUACUAGCUCUGUGGCUUUGGACAAAUUACUUAAUAUUUCAAAACCUCAGCUACCUGAUGCACAAACUAGGAAUAAAAUAAUAGUACUAGCUUCAUUACAUGUCUGAGAGACCAAUGCGUACAAAUCUUGUAGAGCUCACAGCAAAAUUCAGUGAAAGCAUUCAAUAAAAAAAAAAAAAACACACAUUUAACUCUUUUUAGUUGAAAUGCAUGUUCUUUACUGUAUUUUAUUUCUAGUUUUUCUGGGUCUCUGCCUUACUCUUAUUCAAAUUUAUAAUGAUACAAGCAGGGUAACCAGCUUGAUUAUUGGUUCUUAAAUAGUAAAGUCAUGUUAUCCUUUUUUAAUGUUUUGUUUUUUUCUACUCAGGAUACAUCUUAAAGUUUAUAGAGGUGAUGAGAAAAGAAACUAAUGUGGUGUAAAUAUUUAUUUCUGUAUUCAGUGAAUGUCGAAUGGCUGGGUGGAUUUAUUUUGUUUUUUAAAUAAAAAUGAUGUAAGAGAAUCAGGAUCUAGCAGAAAGGUCUGUGAGGUGGCAGUCAGAAUUAUUUGAAAACAAGGUAUUGGGGAAAAAUAGAUAUUUCUAAAUGAGUUUGGACUUAUGGACACUGAGCCCCACAGAUUUUGGAUAUUUUAUUCUACCACCACCACUCAUAAAAGGGAAAGGUUAACUUGUCUCAAGAAUUUAAUCUGUGAGUACAUAAACUCAACCACAGUAGCACUGACCUUAUGAAAAUAUGGGUGCAAGGAGUCAUUCCACUUUCUCCUCUGUGGAGUUUUAGGCAGUUAGCGUAGAAUUACUCUUCUCAUUAGGCGGGGCGGAAGUAAAAUCCCAGAUCUGGGCUAAAUAUCUUUAGUUUAGAUAAUGCUGCUAAUUGAAAAAUUAUACCAUGUUUGGUAUAAGCAUGAUAUGAUUUCAGAAGUAUUAUCAAGGGAAAAUAGGGAAAAAGGAAAUAUGUAAAUAGGCAAUAGAAUAGGACCUUUGGUCUGUUAGCUACCAUUUUAUUUUUUUUACUGUAGAACAUCUGUUUUGCAAUAUUCAGACUUUAAGCUUAUAUUUAGUGCAUAAGGCAGGGAAAUUUUUUCUGUGAUGUAAUUAUUUAUCUAAAAUAUAUCUUUUAACUCAUUGGGAACAAAAAAAUCUUUUUUUGUUAUUUUUGUUUUUGAAUUACUAUAUAUGACAUAGAACUUUAGAUUUUGAAAAUACAAUGAUCAAAGUGCUAAGUAAAUUAAUCAGAUAUGUUAAAUUUAAUUAAAUAAUAUUAUUCAUAUUUAUAAAAUGUUAUAGUACCUCUUUUUUUUUCUUUUUGCAGAACUUGGAAUUAAUUUUAAUCACAUAUGGCAAAAAACUUUGACCGUGUUAAACCCACUGAAGCCAGCAGAUGGCAGCAUUAUGAAUGAAACGGACCUCACUGGGCCCAUCCUGUUUUGUGUCACUCUGGGAGCCACCUUGCUUCUGGGGCACCUUUGGAACUGUGUUGGCACUGGUCAUCGUUGGCUGGUGUAGUCUCUCAGCUUCCAAAAUCUUCAUUUCAGCCUUGAACAUGGAAGGACAGCAGCUUCUCAUUGCCUACCCUUGUGCCUUACUUUAUGGA